UUGAGGUUAGUUUUUCCAUCAUGUUUUCGCGGUUUUCCGAAUGCCGUUACAGUAUUUCCUAUUUUUAUUUAAUUAAUAUUUUAAUUUAAAUAGCUAUGAUAGUACAGCCGAUGCAUCUUUAGAGCUCUAGUGACAUUCUCAUUUAUCAUUCAAAAUGAGUGCCAACGAAAAAUUGGGAUAUUGGCGAGGAAUUUAUGAACUGAUCACCGAGUUGAAAGGGGAAGUCGAUCCCAAGUUCAUCAAGUUCGAGUUGGAAAAAUUGAGAAACAGUUAUUAGAAGGGACCAACUGGUUCGAUGUCUGUACAGAAAACCGCAAAAAAGUUGAAGCAAACAAUGACACCAGUAAGAAGAUGAGUGUUGACAACCUGAUCAGUCACUUGGCUUUGUUGCUAAAUGUUGACACACGCCAAAUGUUGGGACAUAUUCUUAAAUUACAUCAUGCACUCCUUUCGGGGGACUGAGUCCAAGCUGCAGGAAAUGGUUAAAGUAGACAAGUCCAGGAAUGAAAUUAUUCAGGGUGUUUUUUUCUUUUACUACAGUGAAAGAUUAUUUCUUCUAAAGACACUGAAACACAUUGUAAGAACUAUUUUGAUGCUAAUCACAAAUACCAGGAUGUGUAUAAAAGUUUAAUUGAUAAACUGAAACCAG
rnacentral:lncRNA from 1 species